GACGAACGCUGGCGGCGUGCUUAACACAUGCAAGUCGAACGGAAAGGCCCUGCUUGCAGGGUGCUCGAGUGGCGAACGGGUGAGUAACACGUGGGUGAUCUGCCCCUUACUUUGGGAUAAGCCUGGGAAACUGGGUCUAAUACUGGAUAGGACCAUGCUGUAGGUGGUGUGGUGGAAAGAUUAGUUUCGGUAAGGGAUGAGCUCGCGGCCUAUCAGCUUGUUGGUGGGGUAAUGGCCUACCAAGGCGUCGACGGGUAGCCGGCCUGAGAGGGUGGACGGCCACAUUGGGACUGAGAUACGGCCCAGACUCCUACGGGAGGCAGCAGUGGGGAAUAUUGCACAAUGGGCGCAAGCCUGAUGCAGCGACGCCGCGUGGGGGAUGACGGCCUUCGGGUCGUAAACUCCUUUCAGCCAUGACGAAGCCCUUGUGGUGACGGUAGUGGUAGAAGAAGCACCGGCUAACUACGUG
rnacentral:rRNA from 1 species